ensembl:lncRNA
GCCGUGAUUAUUCCCUUGAGGGUUCUGCUUCCAACAUCGGCUUUUCCGCAAUGCCUUCCCUGACCACCUCCAGCUAAUUUAGCCCCUUAUCACCCUGUUAGCAACUAAACUGCUCUUUAUGAUAAAACAGGAUUGUUUGGUGCCUCCAAUGGCUGACUCUCUCUAUAUAAGAGAUAAGUUAGCCUCAUGGGCAUUAAUUCCCACAUCUCAUCUCCUUUUGGGAACCAUCCUUCUGUUCUCUUUGUGUGAUCUGGAUGGGGCCAACCUCACCCCCCAGCUUCAGAAAUGAGCACAUCAUCCAAAUAAAGCCACUGAGAGCUGUAGGACUUUCGUCAGAGCUGCUCAGAAAGCUGAGUUUUUGUUCUGACUUGGUGACUUAUCUGGUAAGCUGUAAGGUUACAACUGCUCGGGGAGGAAAGGACCUGCCUGAAAAUGAAAUCAAUAUUGGGGGAAACAGAGGUGAGAGAAGGAGAGAGGCACAGUCCUGAAUCUACAGGCACCUGGAUUCAGCCAUGCCUGAAAUCCAAUUCCCCUUGGACUUCUCCAUUCUAAGAAUCAAAAUAAUGGCUGGAAUCAUGGCAGCCAUAUUGCCACCUCGAGGGAUGACGUUGCCAACAUGCCAGGAAAUCCUAGUCCAUGAGGAUACCAGUCAACUCAUGCAUUGACCUCUGUAGAGCCUUCCUACCUAAUGGAAC